ensembl:lncRNA
UUUUAGCUUGCAGGCAGGACAUCCACAAUGACAAUGACUGGCUUGCAAUCAACCUGGGUUCAUACUCCGAGUACACAACCUAUUCGGAUCUCAAAGACUUCAACAUCUCAGGGGUGGCAGUUCUAGACUCCCUCUCACCAAACCAGAAAGCUGAAUUGAUACUGGACCCAAGCACUGGCGCUCUGGAGAAUGAGACUCUUGUGAAGAACAUUUUCAUCAGCUUGCUGGAAUCUCCAAGGGAAGAGCAGCUCAAUGAGUUCUUUGUGACUUUUGUUGAAGUCACCAAGCAGGAAAACAUCACUAUCAUCACAAACACAGCUGUAAGAGACACAAUGCUAAACCUGACCUUGAUGGCUCUUGCUCCCAAAUUUGACGUUUUUGAGCCAAAAGACUUCCAGCUGUGGUUCCAAGUAAAUCUGGUUGUUCUGCUGGCCAGCUUCCAUCCUGGCAGUUUGGUUGAUAUCCCCCUAAACAUCACAUGUGAAUCCUACAAUGCCAUGUAAGAGACUACUUUACACCAAACAAACGUACAAGGCACUGCCUCGUAAAGUACAGAUUGACAAAAGACUGCAUUAAUGUCUCUCUUUCCUUUUUCUCUCAGAUUUACGGGUCUCGACCAAAGUUUGGAAUCUCUUCCGCCUCACCUCUCACAGGGUGUACAGUCAAGCUUGGAUGCACUGAUGAAGACAUUCCAACGUAUGUGAUAAACUGCUAUUUUUCAACAUCAGACACUGUAUCAUCUGAGCCCAGCAUUUAUAGAAGAUUUAAAAAUCUCCAAACAGGCAUUCUGUUAUUUUGUUUUCUCAUAUGCUCCGAUAAUCUUCCCGUUGAUUAAGUGACCUUAUUUAAAUUAUCUCCCUCAAAGGUUGCUCAAGGCCUCCAGCUUUAAUUGUG